rnacentral:lncRNA from 1 species
AUGUCUUCUCAUUUCUCUCUCUCUCCCUUUUGGUUCAUUAAAACAACCUUUGUAACCGCCUGGGAAAGAGGCCGUGACCUUUCACAGCAGAGCCCAGUCCUGGACUUCUUCCCAGUUCUCGGAAGGCCGUGGAAACUUGUCCUGGAGACUGGAGGGGAGGCAAAUGAAACUCUGCCGUUAUUUCCCCCCCGCACGCGCACACGCGCGCUCCAGACACGCUGUGCACGAAGACCUUGGCCCCAUUCUCUGCCUUCUGCUUCCCCGUCUGGGGGCGGGAAACGACAUCAAGGGGCGCUUUCUGCAGGGAGACUGAGGGUGGCUCCCGCUGCAAUCGUUUGGACCGCCUUUGCUCUCCGACUUUGGCCACCCGCCGUGCCCCCACAACAGGCGGGGUGGGGUGGGGUGGGGGGGCUCCUCUUCCCUCCAGCACAGACUGGCUACCUUUCCUCUCCCGCUGCCCUUCAUGCCACGGGGCUCUCCCGCCAUGCGGCGCUUGGGGCCGGCGGAGUUGCGUGCAGGCUCGCUCUGCGGAGCAGCAGCGCUCUGUCCUCCCAGGGAUCCCGGCUGCCUCCUUCCAGCACCUCGAGUUCCGUUUCCCAGGCGCCAAAGGCCGAGGGAUGCAAGGCUCCGGUUCCCGUCCUGAAGGAGAAAACCCUGUGGCUGGGCCUGGAGCCGAGGAGGCCGCCCUCGCUGCUGCUGCUGCCGCCACCCCUGCUUUGCCAAGGCCAAGGAGGAGUCGUUGGGCAAAUGAAAGCCACCGAGACCAGGAGGACCAGCCUCCGCACGUCGGCCAUCUCUUCUCCUCUGCUCUCCAGCAGGCAGAAGGAGACGACGGUUGUUGUUGUUUCUCUCUCUCUCUCUUUCUCUUUCUCCCCCUUCCGCCCCCCCCCCAAGCCCUGCUCCUUUCUGAAUUCGGUCAUUGUCCUGCAACUUCAAGCGCUGGGCAAGUCAGGAGAGAACAAGGGCCUCGGCUGUUCUGAUUUCAACAUGUGUGGGUUUCCUGGGAUUUUGUGGCAAACGUUUCAUGUGGAAAAGAGGGAGGUCCGGGAUUCUUCUGAGACGCCUCCUCUUCACGUGUCAGCCCAGCGCUUCCUUGCUGCUGUUCUAGAGGGUCGGAUCUGA